AUUUGGUAAAGUAAGAAUUAUAAAUUAUUUUCCUAUAAGUUGGUAGAUUAAAUCGAUAUUUUUUUAAUUUCAUAAUCGAUUAUUAAGUAGUCUUUCCCAAAUUGCCAAGUCAUCACCCUAAGCUCAUUCCACUUUUUGGUAGAAUUUAGUUUGAUCGAUUCUCCUCGUCUUUAGGUUAAUAAAGACGUUCAAGGGUGAGUUGGUUUAAGAGGGUUACAUUUUUUACGCUGUUGUAGUUGGGUUACGUAUUACGUUUCAUGUUUUGUUUUAUUUCUGAAUUAAAUUAUAUGAUUGGUAGUUAUUUUAUGUGAUAUACGAUUGCUAGUUAUUUUUAUGUUAUUGGUAGUUAUUUUAUUUUACUACUUAUAUGUUGCAAAUUGAUGUGACUUUAAGUUAUGAUAAGGCUAGACUAAUUAUACUUUUAGAUGAUGAUAAGUUUAGAUACGACGAGUAGUAGUGACAAGAACACCUCACCUAGAUGAAUAAUAGGGGGAUUACAAUACGAAUUCACUGCCUAGACUAUCGCCCACACGACUCGAGAAGCAGUUUCCCUUAAGAAUUAUGAAUUGGGCCGGUAAUGCCUUUGUGAAUAAUGAAUCGGGCCCUUAUGAUUUAUUGUCUGAUGGAUACGUACUUCGGGUCAUUCGUGAAUCUUACAAAUGGGUGGUAGGGCUAGCUAGUUGAGUUAGGGUACGUCCCAUAAGAAAUAAGAUACCUUGGAUAAGGUUACAAAUAAGUAUAAGAAUUAACGUUAUGAUUACAAUAACGAUCAUAUGGAUCAUAUGAUUCAUAAUGAACCUAACUUGAUUGAGUUGUGUUUCAACUUACGUUGAUGAUUACUUGUUACGUGUUCUAAUUAAGAUUUGUAUCAAUGUCAGGGUUACAUAAAAAUGAUUCCUUUAUGUGAUAUGUCUAUUUAGGUAAUAUUGAUAAUUUUUAUGAAAUAAUAUGAUCUAUAUUCCAAUGUUUAUUUCGAAUUCUUUCUAUGAUAUGAAAACGAUAGACUAACCAACCCCGAACCACCUACCAAAGUGUUGAAAGUUGUUGCAGAAGAAAAGUGCAGUUGAUUCGAGAUGUGAAGUGGUGGACUUUUGGAUUUGAGAUUUUUUUAUUUAUUUAAGAUUACAGGCCAUUUGAUUUUAUUGAUUAUGAUAUUUACUCAUUGUUCUAAAUUAUUGAUUACGAACAUGAAGUUAAUUUUAAUUAAAUAUCUCUAUUUUAUUUUAAUUUUAUUUGUUUUAAAGUUAGUAAUUAUUUAAACUUAUCGUUAAAGACCAUAAUGCCCUUAUAUUUUAAGCAUUUUUUCUGCUUUAAGGGUGUUUUAGUCAAAUCCCCUAUUUAAAAAAUGAGGGUGUUACACCCCUCAUUCCAUCUUUCAUCAUCAUAUUGGGUGGGAUUUUUCUUUCAAUUUCCCCCUCUUCAAGAACCCUAGAAGAUACAAUUGAGGAUCAAAUUGAAGGUUAAGGAGUUAGGAGCAUUGGAGUGAAGAAUAGAAGAUCGAAGACAAGGUCGAAGCAAGUACAUCCCAACUUGACCAUUAGGUUUUGGAUUGUUUUCACUUUUUCUUCUCUUCUCAUUGGAUGAUCAUGUGUAUCUAGUUCUUUGUUAUUAUUUGGAUAAGAUGUACGUUAUUGCUAUGAUUAUUACAUAAAAGUAAAGGGUUGGGCAUGUGGAUGCCAUGACUGAAUGAA
rnacentral:lncRNA from 1 species